rnacentral:misc_RNA from 1 species
GGUGAAGAACGUAGCGAAAUGCGAUAAGUAGUGUGAAUUGCAGAAUUCAGUGAAUCAUCGAAUCUUUGAACGCACAUUGCGCCCUUUGGUAUUCCUUAGGGCAUGCCUGUUCGAGCGUCAUUUAAACCUUCAAGCUAAGCUUGGUGUUGGGUGACUGUCCGCUUCACGGCGGACUCGCCUCAAAAUUAUUGGCGGCCGGUACAUUGGCUUCGAGCGCAGCAGAAACGCGAACUCGGGCCCGUCGUAUUGGCUCCCAGAAGCUAUCUUCACAAUUUUGACCUCGGAUCAGGUAGGGAUACCCGCUGAACUUAAGCAUAUCAAUAAGCGGAGGA